rnacentral:rRNA from 1 species
CUGGAGAUGGCGACCGGCGCACGGUGAGUAACACGUAUCCAACCUGCCGAUAACUCGGGGAUAGCCUUUCGAAAGAAAGAUUAAUACCCGAUGGCAUAAUAGAACCGCAUGGUUUGAUUAUUAAAGAAUUUCGGUUAUCGAUGGGGAUGCGUUCCAUUAGGCAGUUGGUGGGGUAACGGCCCACCAAACCUUCGAUGGAUAGGGGUUCUGAGAGGAAGGUCCCCCACAUUGGAACUGAGACACGGUCCAAACUCCUACGGGAGGCAGCAUG